rnacentral:tRNA from 1 species
GUUUCUGUAGUGUAGCGGUUAUCACGUUUGCCUAACACGCAAAAAGGCCCUCGGUUCGAAACCGAGCAGAAACA